AUUGAACGCUGGCGGCAUGCUUUACACAUGCAAGUCGGACGGCCGCACAGAGAAGCUUGCUUCUUGGGUGGCGAGUGGCGAACGGGUGAGUAAUAUAUCGGAACGUACCGAGUAAUGGGGGAUAACUAAUCGAAAGAUUAGCUAAUACCGCAUAUUCUCUGAGGAGGAAAGCAGGGGACCUUCGGGCCUUGCGUUAUUCGAGUGGCCGAUAUCUGAUUAGCUAGUUGGUGGGGUAAAGGCCUACCAAGGCGACGAUCAGUAGCGGGUCUGAGAGGAUGAUCCGCCACACUGGGACUGAGACACGGCCCAGACUCCUACGGGAGGCAGCAGUGGGGAAUUUUGGACAAUGGGCGCAAGCCUGAUCCAGCCAUGCCGCGUGUCUGAAGAAGGCCUUCGGGUUGUAAAGGACUUUUGUCAGGGAAGAAAAGGCUGUUGCUAAUACCGACAGCUGAUGACGGUACCUAAAGAGUAAGCACCGGCUAACUACGUG
rnacentral:rRNA from 1 species